rnacentral:rRNA from 1 species
CCUCAGAAACCGAUAGUGAACCAGUACCGUGAGGGAAAGGUGAAAAGUACCCCGGGAGGGGAGUGAAAUAGUACCUGAAACCGUUUGCUUACAAACCGUUGGAGCACCCUUGUUGGUGUGACAGCGUGCCUUUUGAAGAAUGAGCCUGCGAGUUAGUGCUAUGUGGCGAGGUUAACCCGUGAGGGGAAUCCGUAGCGAAAGCGAGUCCUAAUAGGGCGAUUGAGUCGCAUGGUCUAGACCCGAAGCGAAGUGAUCUAUCCAUGGCCAGGCUGAAGCGCGGGUAAGACCGCGUGGAGGGCCGAACCCACUUGGGUUGAAAACCGAGGGGAUGAGCUGUGGAUAGGGGUGAAAGGCCAAUCAAACUUCGUGAUAGCUGGUUCUCUCCGAAAUGCAUUUCGGUGCAGCGUCAUGUGUUUCUUACCGGAGGUAGAGCUACUGGAUGGCCGAUGGGCCCUAAAAGGUUACUGACGUCAGCCAAACUCCGAAUGCCGGUAAGUGAGAGCAUGGCAGUGAGACGGCGGGGGAUAAGCUUCGUCGUCGAGAGGGAAACAACCCAGACCACCGACUAAGGCCCCUAAGCGUGUGCUAAGUGGGAAAGGAUGUGGAGUUGCAUAGACAACCAGGAGGUUGGCUUAGAAGCAGCCACCCUUGAAAGAGUGCGUAAUAGCUCACUGGUCAAGUGAUUCCGCGCCGACAAUGUAACGGGGCUCAAGCACACCGCCGAAGUCGUGGAAUUCGUAUUAUUGGUAGGCCUUCGUGGUCCAGCCGUACGGAUUGGUAGGAGAGCGUCGUGUGGCGAGUGAAGCGGCGGUGUAAACCAGCCGUGGACGCCACACGAGUGAGAAUGCAGGCAUGAGUAGCGAAUGACGGGUGAGAAACCCGUCCGCCGGAUGAUCAAGGGUUCCAGGGUCAAGCUAAUCUUCCCUGGGUAAGUCGGGACCUAAGGCGAGGCCGACAGGCGUAGUCGAUGGACAACGGGUUGAUAUUCCCGUACCGGCGAAGAACCGCCCAAGUCAUCCAGUAAUGCUAAGCACCUGAAUACCACGGGUUCUCCUUCGGGAGUCUCCGUGGGGCUAGCGUGCGACCCUAUGCUGGUGCGGCUAACGUAUUAACAGGUGUGACGCAGGAAGGUAGCCUCCGCGGGGCGAUGGUUGUCCCCGUCUAAGGAUGUAGGGCGAACGAUAGGCAAAUCCGUCGUUCACAUGCCUGAGAUCUGAUGGUGAGUCCGUAUGGACGAAGAGGGUGAUCCUAUGCUGCCGAGAAAAGCAUCGACGUGAGGUUCUAGCCGCCCGUACCCUAAACCGACUCAGGUGGUCAGGUAGAGAAUACCAAGGAGAUCGAGAGAAUCGUGGUUAAGGAACUCGGCAAAAUGCCCCCGUAACUUCGGGAGAAGGGGGGCCUGAGGCGUGAAGAGAUUUACUCUCCGAGCGUUUGAAGGCCGCAGAGACCAGUGGGAAGCGACUGUUUACUAAAAACACAGGUCCGUGCGAAGUUGCAAAACGAUGUAUACGGACUGACGCCUGCCCGGUGCUGGAAGGUUAAGAGGAAGGGUUAGCAUUUCGGUGCGAAGCUCUGAAUUUAAGCCCCAGUAAACGGCGGUGGUAACUAUAACCAUCCUAAGGUAGCGAAAUUCCUUGUCGGGUAAGUUCCGACCUGCACGAAUGGAGUAACGACUUCCCUACUGUCUCAACCAUG